rnacentral:rRNA from 1 species
AGAGUUUGAUCAUGGCUCAGGACGAACGCUGGCGGCGUGCUUAACACAUGCAAGUCACGGGGGCCCGCAAGGGCAACCGGCGAACGGGUGCGUAACACGUGAGCAACCUGCCGAUCUGAGGGGGAUAGCCGGCCCAACGGCCGGGUAAUACCGCAUACGUUCUCGAAGAGGAGUCUCUUUGAGAAGAAACCUCCGGGGCAGAUCGAGGGGCUCGCGGCCUAUCAGCUAGUCGGCGGUGUAAUGGACCACCAAGGCUAUGACGGGUAGCUGGUCUGAGAGGAUGGCCAGCCACAUUGGGACUGAGAGACGGCCCAGACUCCUACGGGAGGCAGCAGUGGGGAAUCUUGCGCAAUGGCCGAAAGGCUGACGCAGCGACGCCGCGUGUGGGAUGAAGCAUUUCGGUGUGUAAACCACUGUUGCCCGGGACGAACAUCCUCUUUCGAGAGGACUGACGGUACCGGGUGAGGAAGCACCGGCUAACUCCGUGCCAGCAGCCGCGGUAAUAC